GAUGAACGCUGGCGGCGUGCCUAAUACAUGCAAGUCGAACGAGGAGCUCUUGUAGCAAUACGAGGGCUUCCUAGUGGCGAACGGGUGAGUAACGCGUUGGUGACCUACCCCGAAGAGGGGGAUAACAGUUCGAAAGAACUGCUAAUACCUCAUGUGGUCAUAGAGGUUAGAGUCUUUAUGACUAAAGGAGCAAUCCACUUUGGGAGGGGCCUGCGUCCCAUCAGCUAGUUGGUAAGGUAAUGGCUUACCAAGGCGACGACGGGUAGGGGACCUGAGAGGGUGACCCCCCACACUGGCACUGAAACACGGGCCAGACACCUACGGGUGGCUG
rnacentral:rRNA from 1 species